GAGACUCUGUGCGCGUGCAUAUCAAUAAGCGGAGGAAAAGAAACUAACAAGGAUUCCCUUAGUAACGGCGAGUGAAGCGGGAAGAGCUCAAAUUUGAAAUCUUCAGGUUCUACCUUGACGAAUUGUAGUUUAUAGAAGUGUUUUCUGUUAGUAGAGUGGCAAAAGUUCUUUGGAAUAGGACAUCAUAGAGGGUGAGAAUCCCGUAUUUGGUCAUUCUUUCUAGCUUUGUGAUACACUUUCAACGAGUCGGAUUGUUUGGGAAUGCAGUCCAAAAUGGGUGGUAAAUUUCAUCUAAAGCUAAAUAUUGGCGAGAGACCGAUAGCGAACAAGUACCGUGAGGGAAAGAUGAAAAGAACUUUGAAAAGAGAGUUAAACAGUACGUGAAAUUGUCAAAAGGGAAGCGUUUGACACCAGUGUUGUUUUCUCGAAAAUCAAUUAAAAAUGGUGGGAUUUUGUGUUGUAUUGACUUUAUCAGCUUUCUGCACUUUUUUCCUAUCUUUUUUAAUGCACUUUUCGUUUGACAAGUCAACAUCAAUUUCUUUUGUUGUAAAAGGGUCAUUGGAAGGUGGCUUUCUUUUCGGAGAAAGUGUUUAUAGCCUUUGGCCUCUGCAAUCGGAGAGAUUGAGGUCUGCAGCGUAGAUCCUUCGGGGUUAGAUGCAUUUGUGCUAAGCUAUAGCCUUUCAUAGACAACUUGUUGACUAUGAUCAGUCAUGUAGCUUACUCGCUUAUGCUAUUUUACCUACGCUUAGGAUGUUGAGUCGUAGAGCACGCAG
rnacentral:rRNA from 1 species